rnacentral:rRNA from 1 species
AUGAACGCUGGCGGCGUGCCUAAUACCUGCAAGUCGAGCGAACAGACGAGGAGCUUGCUCCUCUGACGUUAGCGGCGUACGGGUGAGUAACACGUGGAUAACCUACCUAUAAGACUGGGAUAACUUCGGGAAACCGGAGCUAAUACCGGAUAAUAUAUUGAACCGCAUGGUUCAAUAGUGAAAGACGGUUUUGCUUUCACUUAUAGAUUGAUCCGCGCCGCAUUAGCUAGUUGGUAAGGUAACGGCUUACCAAGGCAACGAUGCGUAGCCGACCUGAGAGGGUGAUCGGCCACACUGGAACUGAGACACGGUCCAGACUCCUACGGGAGGCAGCAGUAGGGAAUCUUCCGCAAUGGGCGAAAGCCUGACGGAGCAACGCCGCGUGAGUGAUGAAGGUCUUCGGAUCGUAAAACUCUGUUAUUAGGGAAGAACAAAUGUGUAAGUAACUAUGCACGUCUUGACGGUACCUAAUCAGAAAGCCACGGCUAACUACGUG